AGGAUGAACGCUGGCGGCGUGCUUAACACAUGCAAGUCGAACGGUGAAAGAGGAGCUUGCUCCUCUGGAUCAGUGGCGAACGGGUGAGUAACACGUGAGUAACCUGCCCUUGACUCUGGGAUAAGCGUUGGAAACGACGUCUAAUACCGGAUACGACCUCCGAAGGCAUCUUCUGGAGGUGGAAAGAAUUUCGGUCAAGGAUGGACUCGCGGCCUAUCAGCUAGUUGGUGAGGUAAUGGCCCACCAAGGCGACGACGGGUAGCCGGCCUGAGAGGGUGACCGGCCACACUGGGACUGAGACACGGCCCAGACUCCUACGGGAGGCAGCAGUGGGGAAUAUUGCACAAUGGGCGCAAGCCUGAUGCAGCAACGCCGCGUGAGGGACGACGGCCUUCGGGUUGUAAACCUCUUUAGUAGGAAGAAGCGAAAGUGACGGUACCUGCAGAAAAGCACCGGCUAACUACGUGCCAGCAGCCGCGGU
rnacentral:rRNA from 1 species